AUCUAGCUGACGAGUCUCAAAUAGGACGAAACGCGCGUCCUCGAU
rnacentral:hammerhead_ribozyme from 1 species